rnacentral:rRNA from 1 species
AAGCGGAGGAAAAGAAACUAACAAGGAUUCCCUUAGUAACGGCGAGUGAACCGGGAAGAGCUCAAAUUUGAAAUCUGGCGUCCUCCGGGCGUCCGAGUUGUAAUCUAUAGAAGCGUUUUCCGCGCCGGACCGUGUAUAAGUCUCCUGGAACGGAGUAUCAAAGAGGGUGACAAUCCCGUGCUUUACACGAUGACCGGUGCUAUGUGAUACGUUCUCUACGAGUCGAGUUGUUUGGGAAUGCAGCUCAAAACGGGUGGUAAACUCCAUCUAAAGCUAAAUAUUGGUGGGAGACCGAUAGCGAACAAGUACCGUGAGGGAAAGAUGAAAAGCACUUUGGAAAGAGAGUUAAACAGUAUGUGAAAUUGUUGAAAGGGAAACGAUUGAAGUCAGUCGUGUCCAUUGGGUUCAGCCGGUCCUGCCGGUCUACUCCCUUUGGACGGGUCAACAUCAGUUCUGACCGGCGGAUAAUGGCACGAGGAACGUGGCACCCUCCGGGGUGUGUUAUAGCCUCGCGUCGCAUACGCUGGUCGGGACUGAGGAACGCAGCUCGCCUUCAUGGCCGGGGUACGCCCACGUACGAGCUUAGGAUGUUACAAAGG